CCUACGGGAGGCAGCAGUGAGGAAUAUUGGUCAAUGGGCGCAAGCCUGAACCAGCCAUGCCGCGUGCAGGAUGACGGUCCUAUGGAUUGUAAACUGCUUUUGUACAGGAAGAAACACUCCCUCGUGAGGGAGCUUGACGGUACUGUAAGAAUAAGGAUCGGCUAACUCCGUGCCAGCAGCCGCGGUAAUACGGAGGAUCCAAGCGUUAUCCGGAAUCAUUGGGUUUAAAGGGUCCGUAGGCGGGUUUAUAAGUCAGUGGUGAAAGCCCAUCGCUCAACGAUGGAACGGCCAUUGAUACUGUAGAUCUUGAAUUAUUAGGAAGUAACUAGAAUAUGUAGUGUAGCGGUGAAAUGCUUAGAGAUUACAUGGAAUACCGAUUGCGAAGGCAGGUUACUACUAAUGGAUUGACGCUGAUGGACGAAAGCGUGGGUAGCGAACAGGAUUAGAUACCCUGGUAGUCCACGCCGUAAACGAUGGAUACUAGCUGUUCGGAGCAAUCUGAGUGGCUAAGCGAAAGUGAUAAGUAUCCCACCUGGGGAGUACGUUCGCAAGAAUGAAACUCAAAUGAAUUGAGGCGUGAGACGNGCGAGGACGACGACGAGGGAGGAGG
rnacentral:rRNA from 1 species